AAAAGAAAAGCAUGUUAAUAUUUAAUAAUUAAUGAUUAAAGUAUGACGUACCAUUUACUUUCCCAACACCGCAUCAUAAGAACUCACAAAAAUCAGUACUUGAUCUUUUCAUAUCCUUACUCCAAAAGCUUAUCAUAGAACAGGAGUGAAGAAGAAACAAUUGAUUCAGGAAGUUACUGGUGCAAAAAAAAAAAUGCCAGGAUUUAAAAAAUAUGCAAUCAUUUAUGUUCAUUAGUAUAGCCAUAAAAAUUUCACAGACAAACAAAGGUUACAUCAGUUCUCAUGUGGAUGGACAUGUCAACAGCAAUUAGGUGAAGAAGAGCUCCUAUCCCACUGCUGCCCCUCCAUUCCAUCCUUCCCCCAGUAGGUCAGCUUUCACUCCAGGAAGAAGCUGGAUGAUCAUUGAGGAAGAUUCUGUUUCCUCUCAAAGAUGCAACCGUAAUGCAGUCUCAGGCAGGGUAAUAGAGUAGCUGAAAUAAUCAUAAUUUUAGAACUUCUCCUAGAGUGGAUCACAUCUUCAUGCAGAGUUGGUAUAGCGCACACUUCCAUUUCUCAUUGCAAACAUUUUUCUGACUACUUCAGUAGCUUUCUUGAGAACAUAAUAUUGGGAAAAGAGAAAAUGAGCUUUUCAGUUUUUGCAAGUUUGAUUUAGCAGUGAAAAAUAACGAGGAGAACCCAGCAGCAGUGUCAGAUUGCAAUAUUCUCUGACCAGGUUCUUUUCCAUAUUCUGCACAAAGAGGGUUUAAUGUUUAAUACAACAUUUACAUAUCUGAAGAGAUUUGUUGUUACACAGGAUUUUGAUUUAACAGUGAUACAGCAAUGUGCUGAAAUCAGAAUACAAGCACAAUAUAGCAAUUGCAACACACAAUUGGAUCACAGUACAGAUGUGAUGCCAUUUCCAAUCUCUCUGUGCUCACUUUCAUGAUGUUGGGCAUCCCCAGUCACUGGAAAGGAAUACAAGGGUUGAGGCCAGUUCAAACACAUUGCUCUCUUUGAAGUUAAUUUUAUCGAUAAUUCAGUUUUUAUACUCUGUGCUGACCCAUGUAUACACUUUCCCCAUGCUGGUCUCACUAACUCAGGAAGACAUUUACACUCUUUUAAUUAACUCCAGGAAAACUCAGUGUAUCAGCUGAUCCACUCAACUGAUCCAGCCCUUUAUCACAAACAGAGGUCGUGGUCCAGUUGCCUUUGUGUUGAGAUGAGUUCAGCUGUGUAUACGAUAGACGUGGUCACUCCCUAAAUUCUUCCCUGAGCUUCAUGAGCACAUCAUCUGCCUGCUGAGCCUUCUUCCAUUGUAGGGUUAGUCCCAGGCAUAUGAUGCUGAAGAGCUUGUCAGAGAUUAUCAGCAAUUGCUCCAUAGACUACAGCUAGCAAAUACUUGAAAUACCAUAAUUGCUCUAGUGCCAUGAAACCAAUUCCAAACAGAAGGGUCAGGCUUCACUUGAAAGCAAUUUGUAAGUUAUUCUGGGGGUGAUGGGCAGAGAGAAGCAGCGUAGAAAGCAACGACCCUCUUUGUCCAGAGCAUAAGCUUUUUUUUUUUCUAAAUGAAGUAGAGAAUCCUUUUCCUUUCCACUCCCCGCUUUGUUUUUCCACUUUUACCCAGUAAAAGCAUUUAACAUAAUCAUGACUCAGGAAAAAUAUGCCUGAACUUCAUACGUGUAGUAUUCCCCAUUUCCUGCAGCUAGCAGGCGAUAUCAGGUUUGUAGUUGUGGCUCAACAAUGCCCAGUUGCCAACAGUGCAUUUGGCUUCAGAGAGCAGAAAUGGAGUGCCUAGGCUCACUGUGCUGCUUGACCUGUUUUUAGAAAGUUUGAUUUACGCAUCGCAGUCUCCUUAUGCAUCACACCAAGAGCAGAAUCUUACUUGUGUGUGGUUGUACUUAGCAGCUUGCCCAGAGGAAACCCUUUAAAAAGAGGAAUGGUACUUAACCCAUGCUUUCCUAUUUGCUAAGGUUGUGACUGUUAGAAAAUUUGGAUUUUUAGAUAUAAAGCCAGAAUAAAAUAAAAAAAUAUUUUGGUUUGGAUCAAAAUGAAUUAAAAGUUUCCUUUUUCUUGCCAAAUAAAGCCAAUAACAGAAGGUGGAUGGAACACCUGAAGGUUUCCCAUGCAAUCUAAAAAACCCUACCUUAUUGUUUUUGAAAGGCAUUUGUAAGGAAGGUAAAAGAGGAGAAGGUUUAACUUUAGCAAGCUGUUGGACAAUAGCUGUAAUUUUGUUCUGUAAUUCAGUGAAUUUGAGACUUUUUGCCCAGGGUUCAAGAAAUCCACCUCCAUCUUAUUCCCUGCCUGCAGCAGCAGUUUGAAUUCACAUCUCUUACCUCCCAGAAAAGGAUUUUAACCACUCAGCCAUGGGGUAUAUGCUGAUUGCUUCCCUUCUAUUGCCGUCUUUUGGUCAUGCUUAGCCUUUUCAGCCAAAAAUGGGUAAGAAUAACACCUUAGGCUACUGGCAGGAGUCUUAAGGUGGUGCGGCCACAGGUAGUAUGAGGAAACUCUGGGCUGCUAGUUCUGUUCUAGCUGAAGGACUAUGCAAGGAGUGAGAUACUGGGCUUCUAGUUCCUGGUCAGCUGCACCUCUAACCAUGUGCAUAAAGCAGAACUGUAACCACAGGACAGUAAAAGUUUGUGCACACCUGUUUACACAGAUGAAUAAUCCAGAGGUGUGGUUUUAAAGUCAAAAUCAAAAGGAUUUGAAUCUAGCUCUCCCAGAUGAAGAAUAAGAUGGUCCAAAAGGACAUUCAACUAUUUUGUUGCUUUAGAACUAGAAAUACUGAUCUGAUUCACCUUCAACUCUUAACUUUUUUCAGGAAACUAUCUUUCUUAGUAAAUCAUUAAAAAAAGUGUAGUUUCCUGCAGCUCUAUGUCUGGCAUUGUGCUGAUAUACAAAAUCACAUUAUACAAUGCAUCA
rnacentral:lncRNA from 1 species